AAAGGAUCAUAGGGACAUGGCCCAAGUCCUCAUAAUGUGAAGAAAUGAGGGUAGCUGACGAUUACAUUGUUUUGUGAUAAAGUCAAAGGCUUUUGUUGCCCUCAUGAUUCUUAGAACAGUAUUUGUUGAAUGCGUCUCUGUGCUAGGGUCUGGACAUGACAACCCUGAGACUGUCUUAGUCCAAAUAAUUUCUCGUUUGGAUGGAGAUACAGGUCAAUAAGAAUAUGACACAGUGCGUGCUGUAACUCUGUUACAGGGGAUCACAAAGGAAGCUCCCAACCAAGACAAGAGGACUAUCUGAAAGGUUUAUGGGAGGAAGUGACGUCUGAGCUGAAGCACAAAGAACAAUUUAUAAUUCAUCAAAAGUAGAUGGGGCAAAAGGAACAGUAUGUUCAAGGCUAAGUUACAAGACUGUGACAUAUCUCCAGAAGCAGAAGUUCAGGGUGGCAGGGCAAGGAGGGCCAAGACUGAAGGUGCAGCCAUUUAGGACAGUGGGGCCUGUUGGGCAGGUUGUUUGGGGUAAGGAGCAAGAAUCUAAUCUAACCUAAGAGUAGAGGGAAGUCUGUGAAGGACUCUGGCAGAGCAGUGCUUGACUGGCAGAGCAAAACCCAGUGCACCCUAUGCUGGAGAAUAGGUUUGAAGGGAGUGAGUUUGCAAGCAGGGAGCUGUAGGAGGCAGUCCAGCUCUGGCUGGAUGGUGCUGGCAUGAUUUGGUGGGAAAGAUGUGUUUUUCCUGUCUACGAGGUUCAUUUUGUAGUACUGUGUUCAAUUCCCAGUACUACAAAAUUUUUUUUAAAAAUCAAUUCUGAGGAACUACAGAGUUUUCUAAUUGUUUCCUACUACUUUAAAUAAUAGCACAAAUAUUCAUUAGUAACAAAACA
rnacentral:lncRNA from 1 species